rnacentral:rRNA from 1 species
UACGUAGGGCGCAAGCGUUGUCCGGAAUUAUUGGGCGUAAAGAGCUCGUAGGCGGCUUGUCACGUCGGGUGUGAAAACCCGGGGCUCAACUCCGGGCCUGCAGCCGAUACGGGCAGACUAGAGUUCGGCAGGGGAGACUGGAAUUCCUGGUGUAGCGGUGAAAUGCGCAGAUAUCAGGAGGAACACCGGUGGCGAAGGCGGGUCUCUGGGCCGAUACUGACGCUGAGGAGCGAAAGCGUGGGGAGCGAACAGG